GCUGUUAAGUAAAAUAAACAUUAAAUUUGGACUGGAUGUCAUUUACACGGAACCUACAUGGGCAAGUAAGCCAACCGCACCUCGUCCAGCUUGACCAUCUUGCUGCACGUCGGACAUUUGUUGUUUGUUUCGAUGACCUUGGUGAUGCA